rnacentral:rRNA from 1 species
AUACGGAGGGGGCAAGCGUUGUUCGGAAUUAUUGGGUUUAAAGGGUGCGUAGGUGGCGUGUUAAGUCAGUGGUGAAAGCCUGCAGCUCAACUGUAGAGGUGCCAUUGAUACUGACAUGCUUGAGUAUGGACGAGGUAGGCGGAAUUUGUGGUGUAGCGGUGAAAUGCAUAGAUACCACAAAGAACACCGAUAGCGAAGGCAGCUUACUGGACCAUAACUGACACUGAGGCACGAAAGUGUGGGUAGCGAGCAGGAUUAGAAACCCGAGUAGUCC